rnacentral:rRNA from 1 species
GAUUAAGUUAUUAAGGGCGCACGGUGGAUGCCUUGGCACUAGAAGCCGAUGAAGGACGUUACUAACGACGAUAUGCUUUGGGUAGCUGUAAGUAAGCGUUGAUCCAGAGAUUUCCGAAUGGGGGAACCCAGCAUGAGUUAUGUCAUGUUAUCGACAUGUGAAUU